GUGGGGAAUAUUGGGCAAUGGGGGAAACCCUGACCCAGCGACGCCGCGUGAGGGAAGACGGCCUUCGGGUUGUAAACCUCUUUUGUACGGGAAGAAGGAAGUGACGGUACUGUACGAAUAAGUCCCGGCUAACUACGUGCCAGCAGCCGCGGUAAUACGUAGGGGACGAGCGUUGUCCGGAAUUACUGGGCGUAAAGGGCGCGCAGGCUGUGCUGCAAGUCAGCUGUGAAAUGUCUGGGCUUAACCCGGGCAUGCGGUUGAGACUGCAGUGCUGGAGUGCUGUAGAGGCAAGUGGAAUUCCCAGUGUAGCGGUGAAAUGCGUAGAUAUUGGGAAGAACACCGGUGGCGAAGGCGGCUUUCUGGACGGUGUCUGACACUGAGGCGCGAAAGCUAGGGGAGCGAACGGGAUUAGAUACCCGGGUAGUCC
rnacentral:rRNA from 1 species